UUACUGCAGAUGAUCAGGAUCUGCUGUGGAGGUCAGUCACAGAUUCAGCUCCGUCACUCAGUCAGAGUCACUAAGACUGUAAAGUGAAGCAUGUUUACUGGACUCUGGACUCUGUACAGCCCCUCAGGUUUGAUGUUAUUGACCUGUGGGAUCUUGUUACCAUUCAGAUGGGAUGUUUUAGACGGUGCAUGACAGUCUCAGCAUUUUGAUGCAUGUAAGACGGCUUUAGGUUCUGCAUUGAUGAUUGGGCUGAAAAGAUGAAGAGCAGAAAUCACAGUUGAAGAUGGUUUUUAGAUGAUUUUCAUGUGCUUGCUGAGUUUAACUUGUGCCCAGGGUCCCAUGAAGACCAUGACUGAUCCCUGAUUAUACAGUAUAGUUCAAACAGUUCGCACUGCUUACUGUAUUUAAAGACUUUCAUAUAGAAAACUGUGGAAAUGUUUACUGUAAAUGUUAUUAAACACAUGGGAAAUAUUUACCCUGUUCAUUA